rnacentral:rRNA from 1 species
UGGGGAAUAUUGCACAAUGGAGGGAACUCUGAUGCAGCGACGCCGCGUGAGUGAUGAAGGAAUUCGUUUCGUAAAACUCUGUUCUAUGGGAAGAAAAGGACUGUACCAUAGGAGAAAGCUCCGGCUAAAUACGUGCCAGCAGCCGCGGUAAUACGUAUGGAGCGAGCGUUGUCCGGAAUUAUUGGGCGUAAAGGGUGCGCAGGCGGCUUUACAAGUUGGAUGUGAAAUAUUGUGGCUCAACCACAAACGUGCAUCCAAAACUGCAAAGCUUGAGUUAAGGAGAGGGAAGUGGAAUUCCUGGUGUAGCGGUGGAAUGCGUAGAUAUCAGGAGGAAUACCGGUGGCAAAGGCGACUUACUGGACAUAAACUGACGCUCAGGCACGAAAGCGUGGGGAGCAAACAGG